rnacentral:rRNA from 1 species
GACGAACGCUGGCGGCGUGCUUAACACAUGCAAGUCGAACGGAAAGGCCCUGCUUUUGUGGGGUGCUCGAGUGGCGAACGGGUGAGUAACACGUGAGUAACCUGCCCUUGACUUUGGGAUAACUUCAGGAAACUGGGGCUAAUACCGGAUAGGAGCUCCUGCUGCAUGGUGGGGGUUGGAAAGUUUCGGCGGUUGGGGAUGGACUCGCGGCUUAUCAGCUUGUUGGUGAGGUAGUGGCUUACCAAGGCUUUGACGGGUAGCCGGCCUGAGAGGGUGACCGGCCACAUUGGGACUGAGAUGCGGCCCAGACUCCUACGGGAGGCAGCAGUGGGGAAUAUUGCACAAUGGGCGGAAGCCUGAUGCAGCAACGCCGCGUGCGGGAUGACGGCCUUCGGGUUGUAAACCGCUUUCGCCUGUGACGAAGCGUGAGUGACGGUAAUGGGUAAAGAAGCACCGGCUAACUACGUG